UGCUAUGUUCUUGUCGACAACACGCCGUAGGUAAAGCGAAGACGCGCAUGUUACGCUUUCUUGAAAUCUAAGCAAGAAGCUGCUUUCUUUUCCUAUAAUAGAACACGCGGAAACGCGAGCGACCCACUUCGACAUCCGAGAUUUUGUGGACAGAAAUGCACAGCACAGUGUAGUACCAUGAAAGGUCACCGAAAGAACUUGUUUUCGAAAGGGACGACAAGAACAUUGUGUAGAAGAGGGUCAUGACUGACUCACCGGGGUCGCCAUAGACGGCGCUCACGAGUUGCAGAGAGACCUUCUGACCCAACAGCUCGUGGAUGCUAUCGAGGACCGACGCAUUGAAGUCAUUGAAGUCGAGGACGUUCUUCUUCAUCAGCACCACGGUCCCCCUGACCUUCUUGGACCCGCCCGCCUUGUCGCCGCCAUCGAGGGCGUGCAGUAUCCCGUGAAACACCUUAUCCAUUCCGAAGAAUUUAUGAAACCUUUCUUGCGAAGUCGAUGGGAUGAAAGGAAGAGAAGGAUCGGUAAUGAAAAGGAUGAAGAAGGGGGUGCGUUGCGAUGGAGGUAUUUAUAAAGGAAAAGUUCGACCCUAUGGCAUCACCAAGAAGCUUCGCUCGUCUACGGGAGACUUGGAAUUUCUUUCCUUUUUUACCUUGUUCCUUUUUUCCACGGUCUUAAAGACGUAUUUUCAUGUAUACUUAAUAGGAAAUAUUUGAUUUGUAAAGCAAAAGAAGUGGAUCAGUCCCUUGAAAACCUAACUUUCCUCAUUUGAUUGCAA